rnacentral:misc_RNA from 1 species
UAAACUGAUUGUACAAGUCGACAUUCACUUCAAUAGACUUGAUCUCAAUUGUAUUUAUUUUUUUUAUGUUGAAGGACUUUUCUUGUCAAUGUUGGUUUUUGUGAUGCUAAUGAUGUGCGCAAUAUAUUCCUUACAAAAGACUGCUGGUGUUUACUUGUUGAAAUCCUAGUUCACUAAAGACUCCAUGCUGCACGACAUCACCUCUUUAUAUCCCUAGCUAAUCGUGUUGGAGUACAGAGGUUAAUCUGUAGUAUUCAUCUUGGUAAAAUUUUCGUCGUUCAGGGAAUCGUAAAAUUCAAGGAUUUGGAACCUGUUGUCUUUAGCGUCUGUUUGCUAAAUUCAUCAAAUGUACUUCAAUACAUCAAGACUUUUAAUAUCUUCCCGGUAAAAAGGCUGCAGGAUAGGGAAUAAGGAGAGUCAGUUCUCUUCGAGCUCCCAGACCGGGAGUAGAGGAGAUAUUUACAUCGUACCAUCCCAUGAAAAUGGUUUUACCAAGACACUUCAUGACCUCAACUUCGAUGACAACCAGAAUGUGAUCAGGUCACUUGCUGAGGUUAACACAUUAUCAUCUGAUGAAGGUCCAUUACGAUGGGUUCCUGUUGUAGAGAACGUUAUUCCUAUCAUUAUACAGAGGAAAAAAGUUGGAACAGAAGAAGUGUUUGAAGUAAAUGCAACAACCAGCAAUGGAACACUCUUCAACACUGAAAUCAACUUAAAAGAGAUACGGCUAAAGAAGACUUCGGAGUGUUUUGUGCAAUGGAGGAAUCGUAAAUCAAAGAAUGCUUGGGGACUGAAUUUCAUCUCUGAAGAAGAAGCUAAAAAGUUUAUGGACUUUUGCUAUAAUGCACGCGUUCGUACGUGGUCUUUGAAUUCAUCCUCUACAUCGCAUCAAAGCUCUUCUAAUAGUAAACGUUCGACGACACCUAAAGAAUCAAAGUCCCCUUCUACCCAAACGAACGAGAACAGCCCAUCUACCAAACACAGCAACACACAUGUCAACAGUAAAGAUGAACACUAUGGAAGUAAUAACACACUGGUUUCCACGGAUACCAGUGUUAGUUCCCAUGGUAACACCAGCGACAAAAGUAGUAUACCUGGAUACCUUGAAACAGCAACGACUCCCGCGAGGAGUCACCAUAGAAACGCUGGUUUCCAGAGUAACGUGUUUUUAGCAACGAAAAAUAACGAGAGUUUUGUUUCAAGUGGUGGGCAAGACAGUGGAUUUGGUUUGGAAGAAGAAGAGAAUGCAACCGAUAGUAAUUCAAGGCCUUCAUCCCGUGUAUCGUUACAGGCGGGUCAUAAUGAACUCACGUCGUCCUUUAGCGAUGACAUUGAUCGGUCAGUUGACACUAGUGGAAUCCGUCAUGAAAACAGUGCUUCUGCUCUGGAAGACUCGACAGAGAUGAGUUACUACAAGGAAAUUGAAAGAUUAAAUCGUGAAGAAUCUUUGGAAAUCUCUGCUUCUUUUCAUGAUGAUAACGACCUGGGCAGCAGUUCUGGUAUUGAAACAGACGUCAAACCAAGAUCUGGUAUCGCGCAGUCGCGCCAGGGUGGUGGAACACGUAAAGCAGGCUGGUUAUCUGGCAAACACGUGUUCACGAGAGGAAAAGGCAAUAAGAUAGAACUAGCGUCAGACAGAAAAUGGAGAAAAUACUGGAUGACUUUGAAGAGUGCAGCCCUGAAUUUCUAUCAAUGUAACGAGAAAACAGUCAGCGCGCAAGAUCUCGAUGACCCGAGUUUUUCUCUAGAGAUUGAUUCGUGUAUUGCGCAAGCAGUCCCCGAACACGCUAAGCUAGAUCACGUGUUCAGCGUCAGUACGAGGCUUGGAGAGGCUUAUUACUUUCAGGCAGCCAACCAAACUGACCUUGAGAACUGGAUUACAGCUGUUCAUUCCAUGGCUGCAUCACUUCUAAGUGGAUCGAGACAAAAGAGUAAAGAUGAAAUGAUUCAAAUCCUGAACGAGAGAAUCAACCAAGUCAACGAAAAGAUUGCUUCAGAUUCGAGACUCAAGAAGAUGGCCGAGCUUCAAUCCACUGUCGUGACGGACUCUAAAAUGAAGCAGCAGUUCUCUGAACAGAUUUCUAGAUGGGAGCAAAAUCUCGAGAAGUUGAACAUAUCUUUGUAUCGACUGCAAUGCUACAUGUCAGCGGUUAAAGGAACACCUCUUCCCAACCCUCAAACAUUAUUAGCAUGCGUUGCUAGGACUACCAAACAAAGUCUUUCGCGUUUGGGAACNUUCUCCGUCAUGUCGUUUCAUGCUUUUGUGAGUGCCAGGGAUCCAUCAACAGAAGAAGAAGUGAAAGCAAGGAAUAAAGCAAAACGGAACCCAAGUAGCGUCGGCAAGAUCAAAAGCGCGAUCUUUACCUCGUUGAGAAUCAAUGACGCAGNCAGUGUGAAGUCAAUACGAGAUCGAUAUUCAUCGAAAAAUACUGCCAAAGGAGGCGCAAAACUAAAGAGAUCCAAUCUAGACAACAUACCUGACACACUCGAGGAAGACGAAAGCGAGUCAAGGUCACUAAGUUCCAGCCACUCAGACUGGAAAAGCCUCGGCAAAUACUUGAGGAUCAGUCUACCUAGCAACCAAAGCACAGUCAUUGCUCUUAAGGAUCAUAUGACAGUAGACGAUGUUGUGGUGAACACGUGCGAGAAGAGACAGUUAGAAUCACGUGCAUAUUUCUUGAAACUAGGAAUACAGGAAGCUGAUNGAUCCUCAGAAUACUUCAUUCCAAAGCAAGAUGCUUUACUCGAGGAUCAGGAAUAUACUUUAUUAAAGUUGUGUUCAAGAUGUGUUUAUCAAGUUGAACUGACGAAAUCCCUUGAAGCAGAUGGACUGGACUUCGGUAUUUCUGUUGCAAGCAAGAAGGGAGGUCUUUACGUCAACCAUGUCGAGAGAGGUCGUCUAGCUCAUGUUCAAGGAGUAAUGGCGGGAGAUGAAAUUUUAGCUGUGAAUGACGUCAAAGUAGGUGACGUAGACAAUGCGGAUCCUCUAGGAGAUUUAAAAGGGGCUUUACGAGAUUCUUGCAUAAAAUUAGAAUUACGAUCACCACGUGAUGAGCCUCCAGUGACCAACAAAGUCACUUCUGAUGCUAUCAUUAGUCGCCUGGUGAUAAAACCUCCGCCCAAGCUAAGUGACAAUAUUGAAUAUGGAGACCUGAGUGAUAUGAUUGUCCCCCCUCCCCUCAUGGACUUUGAUGACGGUGAUGAUGGCAGCGUGUUUAGUGUAGAUUCUAUUCAGACAACGUCCACCCAGCAGAAUCCAGAUCGAUCGAGCAAAACAGUCGAUGAACUGUUGCAGCAAGCAGAGGAAGUAACAAUAUUUUGUAGACAGCGGACGGAAUAUUCAGAAGACGACUCCAAAGCCGUAAUCCAAUUAACAGAUGCUCACAAACUGCGCAAAGUCAUAGUUGAACUGGUAGACACGGAGAGAUCUUACGUCAAGGAUUUGAAGCUGCUUUUGAACAGGUAUUUGGAUCCUCUGAAAGAUGAAAACUUCAUGUCUAAAGCAGAGGUCAAAGCUUUGGUUAGUACAGUUGAAGAGAUCCUCGAUUUCCAGAAAAAGUUUCUGCAGGAGCUUGAAAAUAUCAUCGACUCAGAGACUAGUUUUGAUGACUUUGAUGAAAUCCAACAAUUCCAGAACGUGAUCCUCGCAAUAGGAGAAUUAUUCCUUCAGUACACAGAACAUUUCAAACUUUACAGUGCUUUUUGUUCAAGUCAUUCUAGAGUUGUAGAACUGCUGGCGCCUGGACAAAACCAAGAACUUCGGAAUUUCUUAGAUGCUCGUAAUCCAAAGAACCAACAUUCGGGAACUCUUGAAUCGUACUUCAUCAAACCUAUACAGAGAAUUCUUCGUUACCCGUUGUUGAUGAGAACGAUUCUCAAGCUGCUGAAUAAGGAGACAGAAGAAUACCAAAAUCUUCUCGAUGCAGUAGAAGCAGUCGAGAAAGUCGCCACACACAUCAAUGAAAUGCAAAGAAUCACCGAAAAGUUUGCGCCGCUUUUCAAUGAAGUUGUCGAAGAGUUCGGCGGCUUUGAGGUGUCUGACGUCAUGAUUGAUAAACUAUUGCAUCAUGGGAAGGUCACGUGGUUGAAUUGUCCAGACGAGCCUCGUAGUGGUACGCUCAAGCUAAAGAAUCCUACGACUCCACGUGUCAGCAAAAAGAACUCUGUUAUGCAUAUAUUUGGUGAGAUUUGAUAGUUUUUGAAAAAAUUGUCAUAUUGAUCCACCUAGAAGUAAAAUCGAGGAAAAAGGAAAAAAGUACGUCAUUAAAAACAUCGGAGGAAGUAAAAUUUCGAACGUUAAUUCCAGUGACGUCUCUCGUUCUACGGGAUC